UACGUAGGGUCCGAGCGUUGUCCGGAAUUACUGGGCGUAAAGAGCUCGUAGGUGGUUUGUCGCGUUGUUCGUGAAAACUCACAGCUUAACUGUGGGCGUGCGGGCGAUACGGGCAGACUAGAGUACUGCAGGGGAGACUGGAAUUCCUGGUGUAGCGGUGGAAUGCGCAGAUAUCAGGAGGAACACCGGUGGCGAAGGCGGUUCUCUGGGCAUUACCUGACGCUGAGGAGCGAAAGUGUGGGGAGCGAACAGG
rnacentral:rRNA from 1 species